rnacentral:rRNA from 1 species
ACGAAACUUUCUUACACCGAAUGCUUGCAUUCACCGUAAGAAGUUGAGUGGCGGACGGGUGAGUAACACGUGGGUAACCUGCCUAAAAGAAGGGGAUAACACUUGGAAACAGGUGCUAAUACCGUAUAUCUCUAAGGAUCGCAUGAUUCUUAGAUGAAGGAUGGUUCUGCUAUCGCUUUUAGAUGGACCCGCGGCGUAUUAACUAGUUGGUGGGGUAACGGCCUACCAAAGUGAUGAUACGUAGCCGAACUGAGAGGUUGAUCGGCCACAUUGGGACUGAGACACGGCCCAAACUCCUACGGGAGGCAGCAGUAGGGAAUCUUCCACAAUGGACGCAAGUCUGAUGGAGCAACGCCGCGUGAGUGAAGAAGGUCUUCGAAUCGUAAAACUCUGUUGUUAGAGAAGAACACGAGUGAGAGUAACUGUUCAUUCGAUGACGGUAUCUAACCAGCAAGUCACGGCUAACUACGUGCCAGCAGCCGCGGUAAUACGUAGGUGGCAAGCGGUGUCCGGAUUUAUUGGGCGUAAAGGGAACGCAGGCGGUCUUUUAAGUCUGAUGUGAAAGCCUUCGGCUUAACCGGAGUAGUGCAUUGGAAACUGGAAGACUUGAGUGCAGAAGAGGAGAGUGGAACUCCAUGUGUAGCGGUGAAAUGCGUAGAUAUAUGGAAGAACACCAGUGGCGAAAGCGGCUCUCUGGUCUGUAACUGACGCUGAGGUUCGAAAGCGUGGGUAGCAAACAGG